rnacentral:misc_RNA from 1 species
AGCAGCCGCGGUAAUUCCAGCUCCAAUAGCGUAUAUUAAAGUUGUUGCAGUUAAAAAGCCCGUAGUUGAAUUUCGGGGUUAGUAGGUUGGUCAUGCCUCUGGUAUGUACUGGUCUCACUGAUUCCUCCUUCCUGAUGAGCCGUAAUGCCAUUAAUUUGGUGUUGCGAGGAAUUUGGACUGUUACUUUGAAAAAAUUUAGAGUGUUUAAAGCAAGCUAACGCUUGAAUACAUUAGCAUGGAAUAAUGAAAUAGGACGUUCGAUCCUAUUUUGUUGGUUUCUAGGAUUGACGUAAUGAUUAAUAGGGAUAGUUGGGGGCAUUAGUAUUCAAUUGUCAGAGGUGAAAUUCUUGGAUUUAUUGAAGACUAACUACUGCGAAAGCAUUUGCCAAGGAUGUUUUCAUUAAUCAAGAACGAAAGUUAGGGGAUCGAAGACGAUCAGAUACCGUCGUAGUCUUAACCAUAAACUAUGCCGACUAGGGAUCGGAUGAUGUUAAUUUUUUUAAUGACUCAUUCGGCGCCU